AUGGAAUCCUGUGCAGAGAAUUUGCCACUAAUGGCCAAUAAGGACCAUGUUCUUGUAAAGCAUUACGGACUGGAUCUUGAUGUAUGUUUUGACACUCAAACUAUCCCGGGCAGCAUUAUUUUGUUCCUGGAACCCAGAAAUAAGGAUGAAGGCCUAGUCUUUGAAGAACACUGUCAAUCACAACUGUCAAAAUACUUUUGGAACGAUGAGACACAUGACAAUAACCAGACUUAUGUGUUACCUGUAAGACCCUGCUCAUCAAACUCUGGAAACAAAGACACUGCUGUCUGUGUUAUAGGUGAAAUAGAUACUUCAUCGAAGUGUGAUCACCAUGGCAACAGGAAGCAGGCUUCUGGGAUUACUAGUUCAAAGAACUGCUGUGACAGAGGGAAUCAUGGGAGUGAGGAUUUUAUUCUUGUGUUGGACUGCUGUGAUUUAUCUGUGUUAAAGGUCGAAGAGGUGGAUGUCACUGCUGUGUUAGGUACUGAAAAAUGUAUGAGCUCUGCUCAGGCAAUUGGAAAAGAGCCUUUAAGUCUUAAUACUAGUAUUCUAUCUGUAAUUGAAGCUUUACCUGAAAGCCAAUGGAAAGAGCAGCUAUUUAAUUAUAUAAUUAAGUGUAGCAGGGCACUUGGAUGUGGAGAUCUUCCAUCACUGACAUGCGGAGGCUGCGAAUUAUCAAAACAGGAAUAAAAAUGCCCACCAACUUCCCCUCUGUCAUAAGGAUAUGGUACCAAACAACAACAAAUGGGAAUUCACUCAGUGAAGUGGACCAAACACCAAAGUGGAAGGCUCUGUGUUAACACCAUUUAAUCUCCUAGUAACAACAGGGCACUCUUUCCAUGUCAAGAGCCUCCAGUUACAAUGUCCACUUGCCAUUCAACAGUUCAAGCUGCCUUCCACUUUGUAGUUUUAAUGAGUGAAAAUCGUGUAAAGGGGGCAGCCAUUCAAGCUUGGGCACAACUAUUCACAUUCUGGGUGUGUGAUCUAAUUAGGAGAGCGACAAUGACAACCAGUGAAGAGUUGGUUGAACCUGUACUCUACGCAGUCAAGCAUUACAGUAAAGCACAUCGAUAUGUUAGAGUGACCAGGUCCUUGCUGUUGGAAAGCCACACUUGGAUAGGAUGCCGACUAGCUGAGCAAGAGGUCUUAAGGUGGAUCGGAUUCAACCUAAAAAACAAAAAAAGGCAGCAGCAGGAAAAGGCCACACAUUGAAGAGUUGGAUGAAAAGUGUCUCCCUGAUAGAUAUGUAUUGCAUUGUAUAGAAUUGCUGCUGGAAGAGAGAACCUUAUUCUUCAGAAACCUGCGUUGCUUAGAGAAUACCUACAUGCUGCAGAAUUAGGAUGCAGAGGUUCUGCAUAGAUGAUGUGAGCUGGUUGUAAAACAGAAAUACACUGCAGCCUACAAUGACAUUGAGAAGUUCCUGCAUGAGGACCAGGCAAUGGGUGUGUAUCUCUAUGGAGACUUAAUGGUGAACGAGGACGCCAGACAACAAGAAAUUGCACGCCGAUGCUUUGCUGCUGUAAGAGACAAGAUGGAUAUGUCCUGUGUAAAAGUUAUUGGAGAAAUGCUGUUUUGAUGGAUUUAAUUCUGUGACCUUAUGCUGUGUUUGGAUAUUUGCAGUCUGCAAUGCAUUUAAUGUAGAGGAGCUAGUGAGUCUCGUACUACGAUUAGAAUCAGGUCUAUGAUGUCAUGUACAUUAAGUCUCUUGCAUUUUAUAUAUACAAUCUAGUUUACUUGGGCUCAGAAAUUGAACCUAUGUAUUUCUAAACCUAAUUCUAAAGAAAUAUGCAACACAUAAUUCCAGAGAUUUUCUGUAUGCCAGGCAGAAUAAAAGGAAUCUGCAGGUGUACUAAUGUUUAUAUGGUCCUACAGAAUUUUUUUUUAAAGCAGAUUUUCUCCCAAACAUUUCCACUCUAUUUUCACAGUGGUUUUUCCAUAUACACUGUACUUUUGCGUGUGGUAUGCAGGUCUUCAGCAGAGCAAAAUAGUUAAGAUAGUUGUCUAAUGAAGUAACACAUUUGAUUUGCUUUUCCCUUGGACGUAUAACUUUCCUGACGUUCACAUCUUUCAUAAGCUAUAAAGGGAAAUGUGCUGGGCUGCUCACAAAUUCCACUUUCCUACAGUAAUGUGUGUAAUUUCAUAAGCGGCUCCAAAUGAUCUGUCAAAUGUAUAAUUAUCAGGACAGGAAUCCAAUUGGUUGCUAAGGUGUGCCACAGUUUCUGUAGUACAAACAUCCUCACUUGGGAGCCUUGUAGACCUUGGACUUAUGUUGUGCUAGUGAAGCCAUCUUUCAAUGAGUUCAGAUCUGAAUCCACUCUAGUGCUAGCCUAUAAAUGGCCCUUAAAUGCACACUUUAUGUCAUUAUGUGCUCUAGACUGUCUGUGUGCUCCAGACUCAAGUGUGCUUAAGCAGCUAUACAUUCCCUCCCUUGUCAGAUUUCAUCUCAUUGUGGUAAUGAGCAAACUAUAGUCAGGUGCAUAGAGUGAUGCUGACACCCAGCACCUUAGUUUAUUAGGCAGACCUACAGCUUCGACUUUAUGGCUGGAAGAAAAAGAGUGAACAGAAUCAAACCGCAGCACAAAGGUAUUUUCCUUUUGUAAGUAAUGGCUCUUCAUAUUUUUGUAUUUGCAAAGUAUUGAUUUUAUUAUAAUGUUUUUCUUCAAUCAGCCUUCCAUCUUUUCUGCUGAGUGUGCAAAUGAUGUUAUAAUGUGAUAGCUACCAGUCUGUGUUUUUGAACCUAUAAUUGCAUUAUAAUGGAAUGUUCUUUUAUUGAUUGGACCCUUAGUUGCAUUAAGAAGCAACUUAACCAUCCCUUCCUCCUACAGCAGAAUCUACAUGUGUUUAGCUUUCAAGGAGUUAAAGUACAUUUUACCUCAGGUAAUUGGUAUGAUGCCCCGUGGAUAUUGUAACUGCAUUUUAUACCCCCCUCUUAGAUGAACAUUUUUACUAUAGAUGGUGUGUGAAUGUUAUCUCCAUUGCUGCCGAUUUCCUGUUUCCUGUACACUGUGUGGAUUAAAACUCUCUCUUGCUGCCACCGUCCAGGCAUAGAAGCAGCUGUACAGCUGUGGGAGAAGCAAUACUGUACGGGGUCACUUGCAAAACAACAGAACUCAAUUACAUUGCGUGGAAUUUGAAAGGCGGCAUCACGUUCCAGACUUUGAAAAGUUUUGUACUAACGGUGUGGCUGUUUGGGUUCCUGGCAUGCUGAUUUGUGAGUUAAGAUUAAAAUCACAUUGCCAGGGAUUACCACACAACCAUGUCCUUGGCAACCCUCCUGGAAACACUAGCUGUUUUUCCCGAAAAGCACACAAAUCCGAAAAGGCGUCUCCAGGAAGCAAGAGGAGCCGCACAAAUUCUCCCAUGGAAUGUGAUCCGGCACUUAACAAGGCUCACACAGUGACCUUUCUACCAAGGUGCAGAGCUUAGCUGAUUGGUGAACAGUGAUUGAUUUCCUCUUUGUUCACAGUGGCUAAGUUCUGCACCUGAAGAGAGGGCGAGGGGAAGGUGUUUGGCUUCAUCACUGCAGAAUUUAUCAUGCGUUUUUAACAGUAAUCCUUUAUUUACAACUUUUCUUCCAAGAGGAACGGCAGAAGCAAUUUUAGUUGAUUUUUUUUAAAAAAUUUAAUGUAAGGUUGACUAAGGUCCAAAGUUACAUCAGAUUGAUUAAGUGAAUCUGUUAUGGUCAACGGAAGAGCUUUAUAAUAACUAAAUAUAACAUUUGGUGAUAUAUGUGUUCUUUACCCGUGUAUUUUUGUGCACACGGAGGAAUGCAACUUCCUAAUAUGUUCUCGGAUUUGGUACGUUAUUCAAUGUGGCUGGACCUGAUGCUGUUCUACACAUAUGGUGGACCUGUCCUCUUGUGCCUACUGAACUGAUAUCAGUUCUAUCUUACACACUGGCUCAGUUCAGCAGGAACAGGAGUCUGGCCCUUGAGCAAAGCGCUGACAACUCUCACAAAGUCCACAGAAGUACUAAUAAGGGGUACAAUUCUGCGCCAAUAUUUGUUUCCGGGCUGUUUAUCAUUAGUCAUCGGAAUGAGAACGCUGCUGUGUCAUCACUGGAAGCUCACACCAGCAUCUACAGUUGUUAAAUUGACUUUUUUUUACGUUAAUGCAGUAAAUGUUUCUGCAUGAAGGGUUUGAGUGGCUCAAUAAACAUAAUGAUAUAAAUGCCUAUCAUUUUCUCAUGCAUUUCUGAGUACUGUAGGCUCAUUACCUUUGUUCUUAGUAUGGUGUGUGUUUUUCUUCCUCUGAAAUUUUUAUACAGUACAGUUUUCUUUUACAUCUUUCUUGCAUACGUCUUGUUUGUCCAAUCAACUACGAUAUCAUUAAAAAUGUAAAACAUACAAGGCAGUUCUGCUAUUGUUUGUUAUUAUGUUCAAACCAAAGUGUAAAAUAACAUUUCUGCCCAGAUUUCCCCUUCAUUUUAUAUGCAUACUGUGCAGGAGAUCUCUUUUAGAAUAUUCAACAGUUUAUUUAUGGGAACAUAUGUUUGUGAUAAAUAAAGAGCUUCUAUUUUUUAAAUUU